CCUACGGGAGGCAGCAGUGAGGAAUAUUGGUCAAUGGGCGUAAGCCUGAACCAGCCAAGUCGCGUGAGGGAUGAAGGUUCUAUGGAUUGUAAACCUCUUUUAUAAGGGAAUAAAGUGCGGUACGUGUACCGGUUUGUAUGUACCUUAUGAAUAAGGAUCGGCUAACUCCGUGCCAGCCGCCGCGGUAAUACGGAGGAUCCGAGCGUUAGCCGGAUUUAUUGGGUUUAAAGGGUGCGUAGGCGGGGUGUUAAGUCAGUGGUGAAAGUCUGCGGCUCAACCCUAGAAUUGCCUUUGAAACUGGCAGCCUUGAGUAGGUGAGAGGCAGGCGGAAUGCGUGGUGUAGCGGUGAAAUGCGUAGAUAUCACGCAGAACUCCGAUUGCGAAGGCAGCCUGCUGGGCUGUAACUGACGCUGAUGCACGAAAGCGUGGGGAUCAAACAGGAUUAGAUACCCGUGUAGUC
rnacentral:rRNA from 1 species